UGCUGUCAGUAUCACACUCUCUGUUGUACACAUGUAUGGGAUAUUUUAGACUGCAGUGACCUAUGAUGAUGUGCAUAUUGACUUCACUUGGGAGGAGUGGACUUUGCUGGAUCCUUCCCAGAAGAAUCUCUACAAAGAUGUUAUGCAAGAGACAUACAGGAACCUCACUGCUAUAGGCUACAGUUGGGAAGACCAUAAUAUUGAAGAACAUUGUCAAAGUUCUGGCAGACAUGCAAGGUACAAAAAAUGUCAUAGAGGAGAGAAACCCUCUAAAUAUACUUAUUGUGCAAAAUUAUCCU